AGGUUUCAGAUGAGCAGACAAGGACCUGACACAAAGCUGAGAGGAGCUCUGCACUGAAACCCAUGGGAGGCUGCAACCCGUCCUGCCUCAUCCUCUGCCUUCUGCCUUGGGGGCUUUGCAAAGCCCAGAGACUCAUCUUCUGGGUAACCUUGUGUCUGAGGGUUAUUUCUCAUCUGAGGGAUUUCUCCAGACUUUUUGUCAUUCCUUGAGGAUGUAUAUACCUAUACAUGCAUAUAUAUACACACACCUAUAUAUGCUUAUGAAGGCAAUCCCUACUCCCUUCUCCUUGGGUUGGGUUUCUCCUUCUCAACCAAUUGCAACCACCCUAUCAGUGGACUUUGCAGGCUGGUCUCUCUGAUAGCUGUUGACUCAUGGCCAUUAGAUUAAAAAUCUGUUAUUUCCUCAUCACCUUGUGUCGUUGCUAGGUGAUAAAUGCAUCUCCCAGGCAGCAAGAGGGACUCCUGCAACAUACGGCAAUUUAUGACUGUCCAUUAUCCCUUCUGCUUAAUGGGCCUGGUCCUUUCGAUGGGAGGAAGACGUGCAACUCCAGGAUCAUCCAAAGGUUUCUUCGUCCAGCACGUCUGCUGGGAGCUCCCCUCCCUGCUCGACCUCACUGCUGUGGUUGGCUCGGCCUUUGCUUUUGCAGCUGUGUUCUUGGCACCUGGGUUUGGUCGGACUGCAGUCAUCCUCCCAGUGUGUCCUGGGAAGUCUUUGUGCAGGAGCAAGGCUCCGCAGGUCACUCUCACAUCUGAGUCAACUGCAGCUCGCUGCUGUUCCUGGCAGUCCAGGGAGCCCUUCUGCCUGUGCGGGUGUUUCAGCAGGGAAAAUCCAGCAGAGAACAAGGGGUCAGAGAAGCCUUUUGCCUGGCAGAAAGCUAACGGAAAAGGAAUCUCCUUUUAG
rnacentral:lncRNA from 1 species